GUUCAGGCUGGGCAGGAGCGAGGCUCCUUUCCAAGUAACUCCCGGCCUCCUGUGUGUGCGCGCGCACGUGUGAUUAGGUAGCAGGCAAAGGAGGGUUCUAGGAAGUAGGGGCUCGUAAGCUCAGCCUGCUGAUAAUCCAAUACCCCAGGUUAGCAGCUCUGUCCUCACAAUUUCCUGUCCGAGAACAGAGGGCAGCAGUUGCCAUCACCCAGGACUCCCAGGAAGUGGGAAAGUGAUGGUGUUUUUCUCCAGUCCCUUUCUGGCUGAUCUGCCUGUUUCCACCAGAGGACAGGGAAGGUCGCAGGCCAGGCAGAAGAGCCUGGCGGGGGAAUCGGGCCCCGCCCCUGGCGUGGAGAGGACCUGAGGCCGGUGUCCUGACACGGCCCCCUCCCAGCACGUGUCCGCUGGGGCCUGACUCCACACGCUCCACCGAGAAAAAUCGCGACAGUCACUCAGCAGGAAAUGAAGCAGGAGACGGACCAGGAACUCUGCUCCCAGACGUCUCAAGCUCCCCACAGCGGUGUGACGGGAAGGGCACAGGAGACAUGAACACGGCGGAGGCCGCCCGCGGGAGCAGGAGUCCCGGCCCUGGCUGUCUGGCUCGGGGAAACAAGAAAAGGAGACUGAAUUUGAAGAGGAAAACCUGUGGCUCCAGCGGUUGGUGGACACUGACCCGGGGGCAGCUGCCGGAGCCCGCAGUCCGCUUGCGUGUCUGCAAAUAGGCGCUCACAGAGCUUGGUGACCAGGCAGAUGAGGCCUGUGGCCUGCGCCCGGCACUGCGAGAGGCCCCUUCGUGGCUGUGACCACACCUCGAUUUCGGAAUGGAAAACUCUCCACCUCAAAAGGAAAGCAAGAGCUCACCGAUCACUACUGGAUGUCCUGUGUCGAUGGAGAGUAUUGAUAAGCUCCCCGGGGCUGAGGGCCCUUGAGAGAGCAUUUGGGAUCAUGAGCCCCACAAAGUAAUGGGGGAAGAACCAGCUCUCUUUGAUGAGAUGGCUGCGCGGUCACCAGGGACUGCGGGGCACUUCAGACGGCCUGUGGGAGGCAUUGUGGAAGGAAGACUGACAAAACCCACGUGAAUGAACAAGACUCCCCCCGCCCCCCAAGUUUCCUCCACUCUGAUGUUUAUAAUAGGGCCUCACACAAGGGUGGAAUCUUCCAGCAGCCGCCUCCGUGAAUGCCGAGGGUUUUGAAGACGGAUGUUCUCAGAUGUGCACUAUUUAUACCCCGCGUAGUAGACCCACUUACUAUUCUACCCCAAGAGCCUCCUGUUACUCAGGCACUGAGCAAACUUUGAAGUUAAGAAAGUUAGGGACUUCAAACGGUUACUCUGGGUUGAGAAUACAAGAGUAUAAUGGGGAAUCAGAAGGGACAAAGGCAUCUCGUGGUAUUUAAAUCAUCGUUAUGGCCCAUUUGAUGUCUACCUGCUGUUUAGAGACUGAAUAGCAAAUCGCAAAGGAUUUCUAAUCUUAGGCCUGGUCUGGCUGCCCACGAGGGUACCUUGGGCAGUUAACAAUAGCAGCCAAAGUCUAUGAGACACAGUCGGACACGCACCAACGUGGCGUCCUCACACAAGUUGGCUCAGGUACUGGCAUUGCAAAUGGCCUGUUGGCUAAAACAUUCUCUCUCUCACCGAUCUAAGUAAGCCAAAAAGCUAGUGAUUAAUAGGCUCCUUCCCUCCUUCUCCUUCCCCAGGACCCCAGGGCUGUAGUUCUGCCCCGACAUUGACACUGUGGACUUGCUCUCUUGGUCACAUGGACAGUGUGAGACGCCCUCUUCUCUCUGCUCUGCUGGAGGCAUAGAGGGACAGGUGUCCGGGUGUGGGCUGAUGCGGAGUAUAGACCAAAACCCAGGAGAAGAAGAUGCCUAAGGCUGAGAGGGCACUGAGCCCCUUCUGGAUUGCUUGGAUUCUGACAGGUGCUGGUCUGGAAAAGGGACAGGACUGUGAAUAAAUGCAUGGGGACGUGAGCCUGGGAGCCAGUGUUGAGAAGGAUUACAAAGCUCAGUAGGAAAGGGAGCUGUCAUCAAUUACUCAUGUCUGUCACUGCUGCUGAGUGAUCAGCUAAUGAUGUCUGCCACUGGCUGGGAUGGAGGAGCAAAGCACACAUCACUCUGUCAGAAUUCCCAUCCAUAAUGUAAGGCUCAGCUCAAACACCUUCUUUGCAGAUAUUUCCCAACAUUUAGAAUUAAGGCAUCACCUCAACUCAAAGGAACAGGGUGGCUGUUGUCAUUUGCUCAUUUUAGCCAAUUAAUUUGCUACGCUACCUUAAGUGUAAGCUCCGAAGGCAAGUGCUUCUUCUAAAUUAGCUCUAGGACCUCCCCCUGCCCGCUCCUACUUCCAUGUUCUGAAGCAUGCAUCCAGGCUUUCUUCAAAGAAUGUUUGUCCAGCGCCCAGCAUGCCAGGCCCUUGCUGGAGACAAAGUGACAACAGGACUCAGGAGCCCGGUCCAACUGGGCCCAACUGCCUGGAGCUCCCACCUGCAAAGGCUGCCUGUUCUUGGAAGCGUGGCUGGUGAAUCUUCCCACUGGACCCACUGCAUCCCACUCCUGGCAGGUGACCACUGAGGAA